UUGUGAUGCAUUCAGCAGCUACGUCUAUGUUUAGCCAUAGUGAUCUGAUGGGGGCGUAUUUGUCAUCAUAGGAGAAAGGUUUUUCUUCUUUAUAUGGCUUCAAGGCGUGACUUACUUUUUUCUGAAGACAGUGGCUGCCCCUUUAGACGACUGUGAAGUAUAGGAUUAGCUUACCCACUCGUCCGGAUAUUCAAAUUAUGUACUCCUUCCGUUUAAUUUGUUUGUCUUACUUUCCUUUUUAAUCCAUUUGAAAAAGAACGCCUCUUUCUUUUUUGUCAAUUCUUUAAUUUCAACUUUCAACAUGACAUGAUUUAGGCCGCAAGAUGAAAGAACAUUUUGCUAUAUUUUACAUAUCGUUAAUUUAAGACCACAAGAUGUAGAAGUCUUCUUUAUUUUCUUUAACUCUGUGCCAAGUCAAAACAAGGCAAACAAAUUGAAAGGGAGGGAGUAUGUAACUUAUGAAAAUCAACUUGGCAAAGAAUGUGUACUUCCUUCAAAAUGCAGAAGGUGCAGGCCUACCCCCAUUUGAUUGCUGGCUUUGUUUAAGAAGCAUUAAAAUGAUGGUGCUGCGUGUAGAAAAACAGUAGCGUCUAGCUCUCAAGAGCUUGGUUGACAUAAGCAUGGAGUCAUUACUCCUCUCUCAGAGCAAUUGACAAAGCCAUUUAUUACCCAAUGCCAUUAUUUCUGAUAUGAAUUCCUUUUAUACUUUAGCUCUGUUCCCCUUGCAGUAAUUUCUUAAGGUCUUCUUGCUUGAUUGAAAGCUUGAAUUUGGAGCUCUUGUUUCCUCUCUACUUUUACUGAUGAGUGCUUGCCUGUCAAUCAUAACUUUCAGAAAAAAUUCUGUCAUAGUUGCAUAAUAUAUGGACAUUGGGUGUUUCCACAAUAUGGCAGGAGAAUGCACAAAAGAUAGCUGAGUUUUUAUCAUCCCAUUCGCGAGUGAAGAAUAUCACCAUGCUGUUUUCCCGGCCAUCCUACUAGAUCUUUUCAUUAUUCUCAUGAUUUUAGUCCUAACUUUAGUAUUCUUGGUUUACCAUUAAUACUAUGAGUUUCCAUUGGCAUUGGACAUUCCCUCUUUGUGUUACAGGCCAAAGGUGUAGGAAUUAGGAUCUGUAAUGAGUAUUUUGACAGGGUCAUUGACACUUUCUAAGCAUGUUGUCGAGGUCAUCAAAUACUUCACUGUUACAGUCGGCUUUGGUGAGUAUACUGUAUCCACUAUUAAAGAUCCAUCUCAUUUCUGGUCCUGAAAUUUUGCAGGAAGUGUCAAGUCACUCAUAAGCCUGCCUUGUUUCAGUAUAGAGCAUGGAUUGCGAAUAUCAGGUUGUUUAGGUGAGCAUAAGAUGAAGAAUACUUGCAUCUUUUACUAGUCGCUAUAUCUGUUAUCACUCUUAAUUAAUUUGUUAUGUUACAAAGUUAUCAACAAGUAGAUGUAGGAAUAGUGAUAUUCUAUAACCAUCCUGAUCAAAAAAUAUAUGAAUCAAUUUUUUUAAUAUAACUUCUACAAAAUACUACUUUCAUUUGACACAACUUGUUAAUAUAAAAUAUAUGAAGUUAUAAAAAGGUGGAGGUUACAAUUUUUCUUACAAUAAGGCGCAAUUUGUCACCAUAACCAUCGUUGAUCAUGUCCACAUUUAAACUAUGUAUUGUCAAGAAAGGGACAAGAGAGUGUUGAUGGUGUACAAUUACAAAUUAUAUUGAGCGAAAGUAACAGAAAAAAUAUAUUAUAUUGCUAAAGAAACAUUUCGUUUUAGUUUAAAAUUAAGGAUAUCCUUUCAACUUCACAUAACAUGAUAUUGUUUCAGUAUGUUGUGUAGGCUACGUUGGUAUUGAUUUUUCAUCAAUGACAAUGUAUCAUGAAGAUAGAAUAAUUCACUUGAUCAGCUUAAAUUAAAUUAGAAAAAGUAAAAAAAGAAACUUAAAAUUAGAAACCAACUUGUAUACUAACUGCUAUCUUUAUGUACAGAUGAAGAACGAUUCCUACUCAUGAAACAUUAAGAUAAAAUACAAGCAAGAAAGAGAACUCAUUU